AUGUGGGUGACAGUGGCGAAAGGGUUAGUAAUGCAUAGAUAACCAACCUUCGAGCCUGGGAUAACUGGUGGAAACGCCAGCUAAUACCGGAUAGGCUCGCGGGGGCUUAUGCCUCAGCGAGUAAAGAUGGCCUCUUGGCAAUGCUGUCACUUGAAGACGGGUCUAUGUCCUAUCAGCUAGAUGGUGAGGUAACGGCUCACCAUGGCGAUAACGGGUAGCCGGCCUGAGAGGGCGACCGGCAACACUGGGACUGAGACACUGCCCAGACUCCUACGGGAGGCUGCAGUCGAGAAUCUUCCGCAAUGGGCGAAAGCCUGACGGAGCGACGCCGCGUGCGGGAUGAAGGCCUUCGGGUUGUAAACCGCUGUCACAGGUUAUGAAAGGGCCCGCCGUUAAUAGCGGCAGGUCUUGACAAAGGCCUGAGAGGAAGCCACGGCUAACUUCGUGCCAGCAGCCGCGGUAAGACGAAGGUGGCGACCGUUGUUCGGAAUCACUGGGCAUAAAGCGCACGUAGGCGGGAGAGUAAGUCGGGUGUGAAAUCCCUCGGCCUAACCGAGGAACUGCGCCCGAAACUGCUUUUCUUGAGGAUAGGAGGGGGAGCGUGGAAUUCCUGGUGGAGC
rnacentral:rRNA from 1 species